GGGGCCGGGACCCGGGACGAGGGCCUCCCGCGGUCCGUUCUUGGCCGCCCUGCAGCGGCGGCGUGCGGCCCUGUCUCGCGGUCUGGGCUGUGAGCUGUGUGCGGUGCCGCCGCAAGUCGUACACUGGGGACCGGGGUUCAGGUCUUACUAACGCGGCAGAAACCUCGCCUCCAGACUCGGGCCGCUCCGUACCUGCGGGUGCGAGCACCUUGCUGCGAGCCGUUUUCUCCUAGACCGUGGAGCCAGGCCAGAUAACCCGCAUCCUAUCCGCCCUGCGCAUUUCGCCAGGGACAGAAACAGCUUUGGAAGUCUUCUUUCGUGUCUGUAGUUGUGCUGUCCUGGCUGUCCGGGUGUCAUGAGCCAGUUCAGGAUGUUUACCUUUCGUGAUCAUUUUGACUUGAGGAAGAGCCAGAAGUUGCACGGUCCCACAUGCAUGGAGAAGCUGGUAAGGACACUGAUGCUUCGCUGACUGAGCCUUCCUUUCUUUUGGAUAGCACCAGAACUGCUUCAGAAUGUGGCAAAAAUGCUAAGGGUGUUUGCAGUGAGAAAGAAUAUUUUGAGGGGGAUUAAUGGCAAUAUGUCCUUUAGUGUAACAUUUAAACAAUUUAAACAUUCACCAUUUACUUUGAUCACACCUUAUAUUUGUAUUAUAAAGGGAGAUUAUAUUUUCUGUUCUCAUGAACUUUUUUUUUUGGUACCGGGGAUCGAACUUGGGUCCUUGCGCUUGCGCAGCAGGUGGCGAAACCACUGAGCUAAAUCCCCGGCCCUCUCAUGAACUUUUUAACAGUAGAAUAUCACUUUAUAACUUUAAUGUUUAGAAUAUACAUUUUUCUUCACUUUUAAGAUUUUAGUUUUAAAUAAGAUGUCUCUAGUUUUCUAUGUAUCUAUAUAUAAUUCAAAUAAUAUAAAUGGUGUGAAUUCAAAGUUUAUUUUCAAGAAAGUAAUCAUGCCAAUUUUUAAAAAUUUAAGAAGGAAAUCAGAAAGAUGCUAAAAGUCCAGUCACUAAAAGAUUAAGAAAAAAUGCUCUGUAAAUUCACUGUAGAUAUAAUUUUGUAUGAUUUAUAAAAUAGCUGCUAAAGCUUUUCCUGUGAAUUCUUGCCUAUAAACAAGUACUUCAAAGUAUUUUUGAGACUAAAACACAAAGUUUUCUGGUUAAGUAAUGAUUGUAAAAAUGUUGGUUGUUAGGUUAGUCCAAUGUGAGUUUUUCUUUUUUUAAAAAAAGGAAAUGAAUGUUAGAGAUCUUAGUUCUUUUAGGAUCAUGGUAUUUUAACUUUCAUUUCAAAAAGCUAUUAAGGGGAGAAAAGCUUAAAUGUAGAAAUCCAGAGAAAAUGCAAAACAUAUGUUGCACUGCACGAAUGUGAAAACAUGUAUAUUGACAGGGAAAACAUUGUAAUCACACUGCACAGGCAGCCAAUAGCACUGAAAGAUGCAGACACUAUGACCAAGUUGUGUCUGUGAAACUCAUAUUGAUAGAAACACUGCAACAUCGGGGAUAAGUUUUAAAAUACAGACUAGAAAGGUAGCACGAGUGCUCUGGCCAUAUUGCUGGUAGGUAGCACAGCCACGCUUGCCUUCCAGAAAACAAUCUGGAUAAAAUGUGUAGCCAGACCUGAAAAGCUACAAUUGUUAUGGUCUUUCCCCACAUCUUGUGAUUAGUUACAAGGAAGUAACCAAAAGCAGUCACAUAAAUUGGGAUUAAAAUGUUUGCAUAUUAUGACUAAAACUACAAACAAGUGUAUGUGAGAAUCCCGAACUGUAAGUGGUUUUCUUCCACACAUGGUGUGAUUUUUAUUGGUUAAGUAAACAUUUUAAAAAUUAUAAUUGCUAGGUUUUGGUUUUCAAUCAGACUUUUCAUGUGAGUAUAGUUUAAAGAAUCCAAUAGUUCUAUGAAGUUUUUCAGGGAAAAGCAAAAACCAGUCGUCUUUCAUUUUCUUCAGGAACUACCCUAGUUCCUUUACUCAAUCGCUCGUUUCUUCUGCUGUUCGUGACCACGGCUCCAGCCCUAGCGCCCUUCCCGCUUCUCUGCAGGCCUCCCAUUUCCUUUCGGCAGUUCCUCAGCAUUCCAUUAUAACUUUGUUUAGAACAUUCUUAAAUAGUAUCUUUUUAGGCUGUAGAUGUUACUUGCGACUGAUUCAUUAUAGUAAGCAUUAAUGAUUUUCUUGUCU
rnacentral:lncRNA from 1 species